GGAUGUGAUAGCAAUCUGGCUGCAACAUCUGUCACCUCAUUGAUCACCAGGAUAGAUUCAGCUGAGCUGGCUGGCUAAGCAGAUGUCCCUUCCUCCGUCAUUGCUCCAUGUGUGUCUCUCGAAGCUGUAUGACCUUCUCCAAACAGAGGAGGACCAGUCUUCAGUCAAGGGUAGCUCCGCUCCCCUGCUAGAACCUCUAAACAAAUACUACAACAAGAAAAAAAAAUGUCCUCUUUUGUUCUUU
rnacentral:sRNA from 1 species